AAUGUCAUCUUUUAUGAUUUACUGUUGCAAUUUUCCUCAGACCUGCAAGAGACAGCGUAGCGUGGUAUUCGUGUGUACAUUCUUAAGUUAUGACUUUCGUUUGUAUCCUAGUCCACGUUUACCGUCUAUUAUGAGUUGUUAAAACUCGUAUGUAAUGUAUCCUAUUAUAUAGACAUGAUUUUGUAGCCGUAGCUUUUUAUUACGUCAAUGUCUUUUUUCAUAUUUUCACUGUUGCAAUUUUAUUAUAAUUUACUUCAAAAUCAUGUAAUUUUUAAUAAUAGAAUCUGCAAUGUAGCAAAUGAACUUACAUUCGCAAUUAUUUCAGAUGGAUCUAAACAAACUAAACAAAGUUUCUGUUGUUAAGAAAGAAGUCAAACCGAUUACAAAACUACAGCAACUGGAAGUUGACAAACCAUAUAAAAUAAUAAACAGUAAAAUCGUCAACACUGCAUUUGGCCAAUCGGUGCUUCUAGAAUUAGAGGAAAGUGUGGUGUUCCUACCGAAGCGGGUUACCGAGGACUACGCCCCCUAUAUAGAUCAGUUGAGGACAGAAAAGUACGCUGUCGUAUUCAGAGGCCUGGUGAGCACGUCGAGCAAGCUAAAUCCUGCAGCGUCAUUCGAAAUAAUUGAAAUUUAAAAAACUAUGUGGAAGAUGGAAAGUCUACAGAAUUUAUGCAUAAGCACUAUUAUCGAAAACAUACAUGAAAUUUCAAAAUUUAUUAGUAAAUCGCCUUUACCAUGGGUAUUAACGGAGGAAAUAGUUCAAAAAUUUAGUAAAAUUAAAUGGAUGCAAAUUAAAACUAAUCCCGUUCCUUAUGAACAUUUUAAAGUUUGUGACUUUGAGAAUCAUGAUCUAGAAUUGAAUAUUUCACCUGAACUUCGUCAGGCAAUUAUAGAGUGUCAGGAUUUUGAAACUUUUGCACUUAAUGACUACUAUUGCUUAUGGUUUAGGUAUUAUCAAAUACCAAAAUAUAAUUUGCUACUCUGUCGACCAUGUUACAGGGUAUUUAAAAUAAUUUUCUCUGAAAAACAAAAAUGUCUAAAAGCUAAAUCUGAUAAUUUUCAUGUUAGUUGUUUAGCUUCAGACUUACAUUUGAUAUUUAGAAAAAAAUCAUCCUGGUGUCAAAAUGGUUUUUGUGAGGUACUCUUUGAACUAAAGGAUAGAUAUGAUUGUGAGGAGGACUUACACAGGAAUCGUAAUAAAAAAGUAAGAUUCUCAGACAUUUAAGAUGCUAAUAAAAUUUAAACCUUUUGGUAAAGACGAUCUGUAUAUUUGUAUCAUUUUCGGUAAACAUAUUUUGUACGUUUAUACCUGUAAAAUGUAAAUAAACUUUCUUGUAAAGUAAUUACUUACCUUUUAGUUGUAUUGAUCAUAAUCACAAAACGUUACUUCGAUUAAACGAAUACGAUUUGCGAUUACGAUUAUCGAUUACUAAUAACGAAUAAAAGACUUUCUUGUAAAA